GACGGAGGGUGCAAGCGUUGUUCGGAAUUACUGGGCGUAAAGCGCGUGCAGGUGGCUCUUUAAGUCCUUUGUGAAAUUCCGGGGCUCAACUCCGGAUGUGCAUAGGAUACUGGAGAGCUAGAGACUGGUAGAGGCGAGCGGAAUUCCUGGUGUAGCGGUGGAAUGCGUAGAUAUCAGGAGGAACACCGGUGGCGAAGGCGGGUCUCUGGGCAGUAACUGACGCUGAGGAGCGAAAGCGUGGGGAGCGAACAGG
rnacentral:rRNA from 1 species